ensembl:misc_RNA 7SK 7SK RNA
AGACAUGGCUGAGGGAUCUGGCUGUGACACCCGUCACCUCAUUGAUUGUCAGAGUUGACUGAUCUGGCUGGCCAGGUGGGUAUUUCCUUCCUACCCCAGCACUCUGUUUUUAUCCUUUUCAAUGCGACAUGUUCCAAAACUACCUUCCCUGACAAAGGAAGACCAUUGGCCCAGGGUAGCUUGCUCAUAUACUAGAACCUUCAAACAAGUUCUCAAGAUGUGACUGAGGAAGUCCAGGGCCUGGUCCUGCCUGUCACUCAACAGGGCCUUAGAUGGAUGGAGGAUACCCUUCCAUGCUAG